AAGUCGAGCGAUGAAGUUUCCUUCGGGAAACGGAUUAGCGGCGGAGGGUGAGUAACACGUGGGCAACCUACCACAUAGAGGGGAAUAGCCUUCCGAAAGGGAGAUUAAUACCGCAUAACAUUUUCGAUUGGCAUCAAUUGGAAAUCAAAGGAGGAAUCCGCUAUGAGAUGGGCCCGCGUCGCAUUAGUUAGUUGGUGGGGUAAAGGCCUACCAAGACGACGAUGCGUAGCCGACCUGAGAGGGUGAUCGGCCACAUUGGGACUGAGACACGGCCCAGACUCCUACGGGAGGCAGCAGUGGGGAAUAUUGCACAAUGGAGGAAACUCUGAUGCAGCAACGCCGCGUGAGCGAUGAAGGUCUUCGGAUCGUAAAGCUCUGUCUUUAGGGAUGAUAAUGACAGUACCUAAGGAGGAAGCCACGGCUAACUACGUGCCAGCAGCCGCGGUAAUACGUAGGUGGCGAGCGUUAUCCGGAAUUAUUGGGCGUAAAGGGAGCGUAGGCGGAUACUUAAGUGGGAUGUGAAAGACUUGGGCUCAACCCAAGGGCUGCAUUCCAAACUGAGUAUCUAGAGUGCAGGAGAGGAGAGUGGAAUUCCUAGUGUAGCGGUGAAAUGCGUAGAGAUUAGGAAGAACACCAGUGGCGAAGGCGACUCUCUGGACUGUAACUGGCGCUGAGGCUCGAAAGCGUGGGGAGCAAACAGGAUUAGAUACCCUGGUAGUCCACGC
rnacentral:rRNA from 1 species